CAAUAAUAUUGAUACUUUCAAUUUCCGGUGAGCAUCCGAAUUAAGAUUUUUACAACGAAGUUUAAGAUAUCAAAAAUAAGUAUAUUGAUCAUGGUCAUUUUGAUUUGAUCGUUUUUGAAAACAUAGGAUAAAUAAGUGUUUGACCGAGACUUAAUAUAAAAAUGUGAUCGUGUGAGGGGGGCACACUUUGCUACACAUGUCCUUUUUGUCAAAGUAUAUGUGUAUAUAUGUUGUAACAGAAUCGUCCUAUUCGUUUUGCAACCUUAACCCAUCC
rnacentral:lncRNA from 1 species